GGGAGAAGGAUGCGGGAUCGGGGGCCGCCGCUCCCUCCCCGCCCGCUCCCCCGGCCCCCGCCAGGCGCCUCCAACUUGAAGAGCUGGCGAAUCUGAAGUCGCACUCGGACGCGCCGCCUCCCGAGUUGAGUCCGAGAGCGCCCGGGAAGAAAGCGGGAGCAAAGAGGGAGGCCCCCUGCCUGGGGCGCGGGCCGGCGGUUGGCACAGCGGGCCCCUCUGGGCGAGCGCGGGGGCCCCCGGCGCGUCCCCGUCCACGCGCUCCCACCCCCCCCCCAAAAAAAACCACGCGCCUCCCAAAGCAGUCGGCGCCCAAAGCACGUCUCCGGCCCUGCACCCCCCCCCCAAGGUCGUGGUUUUAGGGCCAGUGGAGGGUGUGGACCCUGGGCUGCUGUAAACAAGAGGACCUUCAGGGCUCUCAGGGAAGAAGGAGAUGUUGGAGCUGCUGCAGCCCUUUUGACACCUUGAGGGCGCCGAUCUGUGACACCCACAAAGCAGGCACCAAACACAAGGUGAACGAGUGAGGCAAUGCAAGAGCCCCCUCGGUGAUGCUUCGAGCCUCGCAGGUGACCGUGAACUUCCUAACGUCAUCGAGUGUCAGCAAAGCGGGGCCGGCAAGGCAAACCUCAGCCCACUGCUUAAUCUCGUCGAGCCCGUGAGCUGGACGUCGUGGUUUGCACGUUCAGAUGGUUGAAAAGAAGAUCCAAAGAACACGAUUUCAUGACACUAUAUGAAAAUGUGCCCCUCUCGCUAAAAUCCAGAAGACCGCAAGUAACAAGCAUUCGUGAGGAUGUGGAGAAAAGGGAGCCCUCCUGCCCUGUGGGUGGGAAUGUAAGUUGGUGCAGCCACUGUGGAGAACAGGAUGGAGGUUCCUUAAAAAAACUAAACAUAGAGCUACCAUAUGACCCAGCAACCCCAGUCCUGAGCACAUAUCCAGAGAAAACUAUAAUUCAAAAAGACACACGCACCCCAGUAUUCAUUGCAGCACUAUUUACAGUAGCCAGGACAUGAAAGCAGCCUAAAUGUCCAUCGACACAUGAAUGGAUAAAUAAGAUGUGGUGCAUGUGUACAAUGGAAUAUUACUCAGCCAUAAAAAAGAAUGAAAUCAUGCCAUUUGCAGCCACAGGGAUGGACCUAGAGAUGAUCAUACGAAGUGAAGUCAGACGCAGAAAGAGAAAUACUGUAUGCUAUCACUUAUAUGUGGAAUCUAAAAUAUAAGGCAAACUAGUGACUAUAACAAAACAAAGAAGCAGAGUCCCAGAUACACAGAACAAACUAGUGGUUUGCAGUGGGAAGGGGGAGGGGCAAGACAGGGGUAGGGGGUUAAGAGACUCAAACUACUACAUACAAAAUAAAGAAGCUAUGGGGCUUCCUAGGUGGCGCAGUGGUUGAGAAUCCGCCUGCCAAUGCAGGGGACACGGGUUCGAUCCCUGCUCCGGGAGGAUCCCACAUGCCGCGGAGCAGCUAAGCCUGUGUGCUACAGCUAUUGAGCCUGCGCUUUAGAGCCCGUGAGCCACAACUACUGAGCCCAUGUGCUGCAACUACUGAAGCCCACACGCCUAGAGCC